GGCGUAGGUGGCCUGACAAGUCGGAUGUGAAAUCUCCCGGCUUAACUGGGAGGGGUCAUUCGAAACUGUUGGGCUAGAGGGCAGCAGAGGGAAGUGGAAUUCCCGGUGUAGUGGUGAAAUGCGUAGAUAUCGGGAGGAACACCAGUGGCGAAGGCGGCUUCCUGGGCUGUUUCUGACGCUGAGGCCCUAAAGCAUGGGGAGCGAACAGGAUUAGAUACCCUGGUAGUCCAUGCUAUAAACUAUGGACACUAGGUAUGGGGAGUAUCGACCCUCUCUGUGCCGAAGCUAACGUCUUUAAGUGUCCCGCCGUGGGGACUACGGCCGCAAGGCUAAA
rnacentral:rRNA from 1 species